CGGCGGACGGGUGAGUAAUGUAUGGGGAUCUGCCUGAUGGCGGGGGAUAACUACUGGAAACGGUAGCUAAUACCGCAUAAUGUCUACGGACCAAAGCGGGGACCCCCGGGCCUCGCGCCAUCAGAUGAACCCAUAUGGGAUUAGCUUGUAGGUAAGGUAACGGCUUACCUAGGCGACGAUCCCUAGCUGGUCUGAGAGGAUGAUCAGCCACACUGGGACUGAGACACGGCCCAG
rnacentral:rRNA from 1 species